UGGGUGUUCCUCUUUCCCUGCUGACCACCACAUACCACCUCAUUCCCAAUUCCCUCAGGGCUCUUUUUUUUAGAGAUUGGCACCUGAGCUAACAACUGUUGCCAAUCUUCUUUUUUUUUUAUUCUUCUCCCCAAAGACCCCAGUACAUAGUUGUAUAUUUUAGUUGUGGGUUCUUCUAGUUGUGGCAUGUGGGACACCGCCUCAGCGUGACCUGACAAGCGGCGCCAUGUCCGCACCCAGGAUCUGUACCAGCGAAACCUUGGGCCGCCAAAGCAGAGUGCGCGAACUCAACCACUCAGUCAUGGGGCCGCCCCCGCUCAGGGCUGUUGCUUAUGGAGACAAAGCCCAGAUCCAGCAGCACAGAAUGAGUGUCCUUCCACAGAGGCCUCUAACUUCUACCUGGCACGGGUCAAACUCAAGAAUCUGGGACUUUUGGUUACAGUCUCUACUCCUUUGUUUCAAGGACAUUGGGUCACAUAGGCAAAUCCAGACCAAACUCUGUAACAGUCCUGGGUCACAUAUGUUACUAGAAACUUGGGAUGAUAAAGGACUCAAUACGCUCACACUGAGCCUUGCCUCAAGACCAUCUUGUCCUUCCACCUUCACAAUUUCUGUUAAUAUCACUUUUAUCCUAGUUACCCAGCCUCAAAAUUUGGGCAUAAUGAUCCCUAAUAUUUGCUGAGUACUUAAUCCUCACAAAAACUGUAUGAAUGGAUACUAUUCUAUCCAUUUUAUGUAUGAGGAAACUGAGGCUUAGCAAGACUAAGACGUAGCUAGAAUAUAAGCUCUAGAAUCUUUGUCAAUUUUCUUCUGUGGUGUAGCCUGAGUGCCUAGAACUGUGCCUGGCCCAUACAGGUGUUCAAUAAAUAUUUACGAAAUGAAUGGAGGGUGAUACAACAAACACGUGGGAUCUGGGAUUUGAAACCAGAUCUGUCUCGACCACUGCACCACACCUUCUCUGGCUUCAGCUUUGACAUUCCUCUUGUCAUCCCACAGACUCAUCGCCCAAAUCAGUAAUGGUCCAAGCAAGUCCAUUAUCAUGAUGUUUCUUGCAUUUGGCCCCUUUUUUCAUUUCUGCUGCCACCAACCUAGUUAGAGUGAUUGCUAUUUAUUUCCUGAACUAUUGCUGUUCCUUCCCCACCUGCAGUCUUUACAGGCCCCUGUGUGGCCUACCCAACUUUUACCAGAUGGCUUUUUUCUUAAAGCACAUUCAAUACAUCAUACCUCUGCUCAAAGACAAGGUAGGUGGUGUGGUAUAAUGAAAAACUGAGGAACUAAGAAAACCAGGAUUCUGGUCUCAAUUCCAUGACCUUGGACAAGUUACGUAUCCCUCCUAGGCUUCAUUCUCCCCACCAAUAACAUUACGAAGUUAGACUGGGUAAUCUCUUCCCUUGCUGACGUUGUCUGGUGGUUAGACGCAGGGGCUGUUACACCCUGUCAGUGGAAUCCUACCUGGAAUCAGGUACGAAGGGCAGUUGUGCCUCCAAAGGGUUUAGAAUAAGAUGAAUACAUUCAUUUUUAUCAAACAAAGCAGAGCAGUGUAAGUGCCAUCAAAGACGUAAAAUGAGGAGCUCUGGCCAUUAGGGGAGGGUAAGAUCACAUCUGGUUACUAAUGGGAGGUAUGGACGGGGCACAGACACUGCUCUUCCUCUGAUGUCAGCCUGUCCCUGGUAUGCAGGCCCUCGCCUCAUUGAUGAGAGGAGGAGAAGCUGCUAAGAUCCCAGUAGCUUUAAGCUCUUGCAGAAAUCAGUCAUAAACACUAACUCUCUAAUUCAGAAGUGUUGGCUCAAGACACACAAAUUGGUGUAAUGCUUAGGAACCUGCUUAAGAGGCAAAGAGGAAAGAGAAAAUGAAAGUGGUUGUCAUGUUCCUGAUGAAUGCUCCAUAUCUUGCUCGGCCACUUACUAGUCAGGUGGCCUUGGGCAGGUCACUUGUCUUCUCUGAACCCUGGUUUUACCUCAGUUCCUCAUCUAGAGAUUGGGGAUAAUAAUACCGACUCCGCAGGAUAGUGGUGAGGAAUAAAUUAGAUAGAGUAUGUAGGGCCCCUAGUGUAAUGCCUGUAGCACAGUAAGCAUUCAGGAAAUUUCAUCUUCCAUCUUACCUUCUGCCCCUCUAAACACGUCCGUUUUUAAACACCCUUUUAAAAUCCCUGGCCGGGGGCGGGGGAGUGGAGGGAGAGAGAGAGAUCAUUUCACAGCGAUAACUCAUAGAAUUCUAUAUGCUCCACCCUUGCAUACGUUCAGAUUUGGGAAAUUAUGUGCCAUCUUAACUUAAGAAGCUUCCCACCCCUUUACAGCUAUUAAAAGGACAGAGUGGAAAGGGCAAAUCAGAAGUUGUUGCUGUCUUAUCUGUGGCUGAAGGAGGAACUAGGGAGGUCCAGCCUGCAGCCUUCUUUCUUCCUCCAGGUGAACUGAUGAAGACUUAGAAGCAGCAGCUGCAUCAUGGCCAGGGUGGCCUGCCCUUGUCCUUUCACUUUCAUCCUAUAGUUAUCAGGCCGUUAAGGAGCGGUUGUUGCUAUAUCUGUGGUUGACAGUCAUCAUGGCAGCCAAGAAAAAUUUAUGUGUCAAAACAAUUGCAUUUCAUUAAACUUUGGAAUGAGGAAAUAUAUGUGUAGGAUAUAAUAAUUUUUUUUAGAAAUUAAGGAAAAUCAUCCACUCAUUCAGCCUUCAAAUGCUUAUGGACAGCUGCUAUUGUGACAAACACAGUGCUAGGCACUGGAAAUACAACAGUGACUAAAACAAAACUCCCUGCCUUCUCAGAGUUUAUAUUAUGGUGGGAGAUGGAGAAAAUAAACAGGAUAAGUUAGUAAGAUAUAUAUUCCUGAUAUUAUGUAUUAGGAAGUAGUUGGUGCUAAGGGGGAAAAUAAGGCAAGAAAGAAUAUAAAAUAUCUGUGGGGAUGAGGUAUUCAAGUGUUAGAUAGUUGUCCAGGGAAAGUCUCAUUAAUAAGGUGCUUUUGAAGUAAAGACCUGAUGGAAGUGAUGAGCCAGCUGUGAGGGUGUCUGAGGGACAACUUUCAAGGCAGAGGGAACAGUAACUCCAAAAGUCCUGAGAUGGCCUUGUGUGUCUGAGGAAGGUGCCCAGUGUGUCUGAGGAAGGUGCCCAGUGUGUCUGAGGAAAGUGCCCAGUGUGUCUGAGGAAGGUGCCCAGUGUGUCUGAGGAAAGUGCCCAGUGUGUCUGAGGAAGGUGCCCAGUGUGUCUGAGGAAGGUGCCCAGUGUGUCUGAGGAAGGUGCCCAGUGUGUCUGAGGAAGGUGCCCAGUGUGUCUGAGGAAGGUGCCUCAUGUCUCUGAGGAAGGUGGCCCGUGUGUCUGAGGAAGGUGCCCAGUGUGUCUGAGAAGGUGCCUCAUGUCUCUGAGGAAGGUGUCUCCCAUGUCUGAGGAACAGCCAGGAAGCCACUAUUUGACCUGACGGGGAGGGAAAGCAGUCAGAGAUCAGUUCCAAGAGAAAACAGAGGCCAGUUGUGUGGGGCCUUAUAGGACAUGAUAAGGACUUUGAUUUUCACUCAGAGUAAGAAGAGAAGCCACCGUGGCGUCUGGCCAGAGGAGUAAUAAAAUAUUAUAUAACUCAUUUUUAUGAGUGCUUACCCUGUUUCGUUCUAUUUUAAAUGCUUUAUUUGUAAUCCUCACGAUAACCUUAAGAGGUAGGACCUACAUCUCCCAUUUUGCAUCUGAGGAAACAGAGGCCCAAAGAGAUUAAGUUUUGGCUGAAGUCACACAGCCAAAAUUUAGAUCCAGUCCAACUCUUAACCACCUCAUCGUCCUGACUCCCCAAAUGCUUAAGCGAUUGAGACUUUCUUUUUUUUUUUUU
rnacentral:lncRNA from 1 species